UUAGCUUGCUGACAGGCGUCGAGUGGCGGACGGUGAGUAACGCGUAGGAUCACCAAUAGCGGGGGAUAGCCCGGAGAAAUCCGGAUUAAUACCGCAUAAUCUCUACGGAGUAAAGAGGGCCUCUAUUUAUAAGCUUUCACUAUUUGAUGAGCCUGCGUAAGAUUAGCUUGUUGGUGAGGUAAAAGCUCACCAAGGCGACGAUCUUUAGCUGGUCUGAGAGGAUGAUCAGCCACACUGGGACUGAGACACGGCCCAGACUCC
rnacentral:rRNA from 2 species